rnacentral:rRNA from 1 species
AUUGAACGCUGGCGGCAGGCCUAACACAUGCAAGUCGAGCGAGCGGCGGACGGGUGAGUAAUGUCUGGGGACUGCCCGAUAGAGGGGGAUAACUACUGGAAACGGUGGCUAAUCCCGCAUACUAUCGGAUAACCCAUAUGGGAUUAGCUAGUAGGUGGGGUAAAGGCUCACCUGGGCGACAUUCUCUAGCUGGUCUGAGAGGAUGAUCAGCAACACUGGGACUGAGACACGGUCCAGACUCCUACGGAGGCAGCAGUGGGGAAUAUUGCACAAGUGGCGCAAGCCUGAUGCAGCCAUGCCGCGUGUAUGAAGAAGGCCUUAGGGUUGUAAAGUACUUUCAGCGGGGAGGCGUUACCCGCAGAAGAAGCACCGGCUAACUCCGUGCCAGCCGCCGCGGUAAUUC